CCCCUGGAGACAGCUUCCUCCGAGAGGGCC
rnacentral:sRNA from 1 species